rnacentral:misc_RNA from 1 species
UUCUGCUUCAAUAGCAUCAGAACCACCACCAUCAGAAAUGGAUGUAUCAGCACCGCCAACACUUUUAAGCCUUAAUUUAGCAUCCAUGUAUCUUAUGUGCAACUUGUCCAGCUCCUCAGAUAAGUGGCAAGAAGAAACUAAGCUAGAAUGAGACUUAAGAACUGAAUAAAUAGUCAAAAGAGCACUGGGGGGAUCAAAAUGGUUGGAGGCAUCAUCUAGAGCAGCAAGAUGUAUUUCCCUCAAGAACUUUAGGCAUGCCUCAUAGAAGGUAUCUUUGUAUGUGUUCAAGUUAUUGCUCAACCAUUUCUCUAAAUCCAAGA